rnacentral:rRNA from 1 species
AUUGAACGCUGGCGGCAUGCCUUACACAUGCAAGUCGAACGGUAACAGGUCUUCGGAUGCUGACGAGUGGCGAACGGGUGAGUAAUACAUCGGAACGUGCCCGAUCGUGGGGGAUAACGAGGCGAAAGCUUUGCUAAUACCGCAUACGAUCUACGGAUGAAAGCGGGGGAUCUUCGGACCUCGCGCGGGCGGAGCGGCCGAUGGCAGAUUAGGUAGUUGGUGGGAUAAAAGCUUACCAAGCCGACGAUCUGUAGCUGGUCUGAGAGGAUGAUCAGCCACACUGGGACUGAGACACGGCCCAGACUCCUACGGGAGGCAGCAGUGGGGAAUUUUGGACAAUGGGCGAAAGCCUGAUCCAGCCAUGCCGCGUGCAGGAUGAAGGCCUUCGGGUUGUAAACUGCUUUUGUACGGAACGAAAAGCCUCUUUCUAAUAAAGAGGGGUCAUGACGGUACCGGAAGAAUAAGCACCGGCUAACUACGUG